rnacentral:rRNA from 1 species
AUUGAACGCUGGCGGCAGGCCUAACACAUGCAAGUCGAGCGGAUGAAGGGAGCUUGCUCCUGGAUUCAGCGGCGGACGGGUGAGUAAUGCCUAGGAAUCUGCCCGGUCGUGGGGGAUAACGUCCGGUAACGGGCGCUAAUACCGCAUACGUCCUGAGGGUGAAAGUGGGGGAUCUUCGGACCUCACGCUAUUAGAUGAGCCUAGGUCGGAUUAGCUAGUUGGUGGGGUAAAGGCCUACCAAGGCGACGAUCCGUAACUGGUCUGAGAGGCUGAUCAGUCACACUGGAACUGAGACACGGUCCAGACUCCUACGGGAGGCAGCAGUGGGGAAUAUUGCACAAUGGGCGAAAGCCUGAUCCAGCCAUGCCGCGUGUGUGAAGAAGGUCUUCGGAUUGUAAAGCACUUUAAGUUGGGAGGAAGGGAAGUAAGUUAAUACCUGGCUGUUUUGACGUUACCAACAGAAUAAGCACCGGCUAACUUCGUG